ACACUGCUCUUUUUGUGCUAUUGUUCAGUUACCUUAUGAAUGAAUCCAUGUAGAGAAAUGAUAGCUGUUAAUACACGUCUGUACAUACUGUAUAUAAAAUGGGAUAUACUUUUGUAAAUGGAGUUGAUUGA